rnacentral:lncRNA from 1 species
CCUUGAAAUAGGAUGUUUUAUAUAACAUAGUUUCCAAAAUGUAGGUAUUCACCCAUUAAUGGAUCCUGAGAUUAAUGUAAUGGGGGUUGAACUAUGUCUGAAUAUGACUUCAAUUAUGGGAGUUGAGAAGAGACUACAUCUUGGCUACAAGUAAUUAAUACUCUGUAUUUUGGGGAAAUGAAAAAUGAUGAGCAAGCUGAAGGGUAAUUUAUGUAUAAGAAGAAAGGCAUGUUGCUGGAUCUGGAUCCCAAACCUAGGCAUGUUGCUGGAUCUGGAUCCCAAACCUAGAAGUUACGCAGUUAUCCUACCACGAGCACCAGCAUGAAGACAAGAUCAAGGACGGAUGUACAGAAAGAUUUAGGAAAACUACAUCCCAAAUUGACCCUUGAAUAAUGUAACUGUGCUCACAAAUCAACCAAUAUGGGGUCUGCUUUUCCUCUGGAUGUCAUAUGCUGUGAAAUAAUCUAUGUCCUAGAUGUUUAAGGUAAGUUAGCCCCUGUAUUAUGGGAGCAAUUGCUUACUUUAAAGUUCUAUAAAUUUGAAAAGUUCCUGCUUGCUUUCUACCCAAGCUAAAUUCAAGUAUCCCCAUUUGGAUAGAAGCAUGAAGAUCCUGAUGCUUCCUCAUUGUCCCUAUUUGAUAAAUGCACCUUCUUCUCACAGUCACUUCCAAGAGUACAUUAUGUGCUCUAGUUCUGCCCUAGGUCAGCUUUGUACAAUUAUCGUAACUGGAUUCUACUAGGUAGAUGUUUUUAUUUUUCUAAGUGUUAUAUAUUUUUUUUCUUUUUUAAAAAUCCAGGAUAUAAUACUUAUCAUCAUCUUAAGUUAUUGAGGUAUAAAAAUAAUAACCUCAAAUUUGACCUUCAUAAAAAUAUAUUCUUAUAGAAGAAUGUUUUAAAAUCUCCUCAUAUAGUCUUUGUAUUUUUUACUUUUUAUUAUCAAAUUCCUCUGUAUAUACACACAUGCACACACACCCUACCAUACUCUCUCUCUCACAUUCCUUUAAAUUUCAGCAAUUAUCCUUGUGCUGCCUGCAUAACUCGGAAAUGAAGGGAAUUAGAAUGUUAAGUGGAUUAAAAGGUUAAUUGCCUAAUUUUACUUUCUUUCCUGAAAAGACUAGUUUGACCUAUGCAAGUUUCCUUUUUGGAAGCUAGGAAUCUUUUGAAAUAUACUUGAAUGAAUUAGUUUUUAUCUUUCAAGUUAACUACUUUUACAUAAUACUUCUAAUGUUAGUUUCUUGGUAACUGAUAUUUUUCUGUCUUUUUCUGUUACCAUGUUUGGGAAAUUGUGAUCUCUAAACUUUGUUUCUAUUAACAAUUAUAUGAAGAAAAUAUUUUGGAAAAUGUCAUAAACAGCUGAAUAAGCCUAGCAUAUAUCUUAUUUUUUUCAAGAUGCCUCCUGGAAAUAAAUUAAAAUACCUGAAAAAUUAGAGAUAUUUCAGAAAAUAUUCUAUUUUCUAUUUUUAAUUAAAUACUGUGACAAAGCAGC